GCCAGGUGUGCGUAAUGAUGGGUUGCCAGGUGUGCGUAAUGAUGGGUUGCCAGGUGUGCGUAAUGAUGGGUUGCCAGGUGUGCGUAAUGAUGGGUUGCCAGGUGUGCGUAAUGAUGGGUUGCCAGGUGUGCGUAAUGAUGGGUUGCCAGGACCGGUG